rnacentral:lncRNA from 1 species
UUAUCACCUAGACCUUUAUAACAACAAACAUCUUCAUCCUUGGCCAUUUAAACAACCAUUCAUCAUCAAAUACUUACGCAUCAUUCUAUAGCAAAAUCAUAAUUACAAACAUACAAAAUAACUAAAUCCCUAUACAUGCCAGAACUCAAACGUGUUUCAUCAUAAAAUACCGAGCAGUUGUGGUUGAUAGUGUGGACGAUCUCCGACUUCUUUAGGAUCCUUGAAGUAGCUUAGCAAUACUAAAAGAGAAAGAGAAAUAAAAGAAGUAAGCAAAAAGCUUAGUAAGUUUACUAGCAAAUAAAUAACAACAUUUAACACAAAUGAUUAUACUCAAAUGUCAAGGUCUCUAGUUUACUCUUUAAUUAAUCUCAUUCUCAUUCUCAUUCUCAUUCUCUUGCUUGUUUACUUAGUUAACUCGCGAUCAUAUCUUACUCUUCCAUUGCUGAAACGUUGAGUAUCAUUUGAUAAUAUAAUAAGUUCUUAACUCUUAUAACUUACCUGAGCUUGCCAUUUACGCUUUUAACUGAACUUUCAUGUACCUGAUUCGUUUACUAGCCCGUUGAACCACAUUGGAAUAAUAAGGAUACUCGGGUAUCUUUUGAUCAUAACAUGCCAAAGCCAUGUCUCAGACAUGGUCUUACAUGGGAUGUUCUCAUAUCGGUGCCCACGCCAUGUCC